AGCUUCGUGGAACAGCGGAAGUUCGUCGGGCUCAUAACCCGAAAGUCAAAGGAUCGAAACCUUUCGAAGCUA